GGGCUAUAACACUUGAAGAGGAGGAUUUGAUUCCUUCAGCUCUACUCAAAUUUAAACCUAUAGAAACAGAUUCCGUUGUUUUUACAGGUCUUUGCAAUGAACUUCUUGAAAUCAGCGAGCCACUCGAGACUGGAUCAGCUUCUUCCUCGUAAGCCUCUGGCUCGCUCUGUGGACGUCAUAGUUACAUCGGAGACCACUAAUUCAUGAAUUUUUCUAUUUUGUUUACCCUUUUUCUGCAUAUUCUGGUUUUG
rnacentral:misc_RNA from 1 species